CCUACGGGCGGCAGCAGUGAGGAAUAUUGGUCAAUGGGCGCUAGCCUGAACCAGCCAAGUAGCGUGAAGGAUGACUGCCCUAUGGGUUGUAAACUUCUUUUAUAUGGGAAUAAAGUGCAGUAUGUAUACUGCUUUGCAUGUACCUUAUGAAUAAGGAUCGGCUAACUCCGUGCCAGCAGCCGCGGUAAUACGGAGGAUUCGAGCGUUGUCCGGAUUUAUUGGGUUUAAAGGGAGCGUAGGCGGGUUGUUAAGUCAGUUGUGAAAGUUUGCGGCUCAACCGUAAAAUUGCAGUUGAUACUGGCAGCCUUGAGUAAAGUAGAGGUAAGCGGAAUUCGUGGUGUAGCGGUGAAAUGCUUAGAUAUCACGAAGAACUCCGAUUGCGAAGGCAGCCUGCUGGACUGUAACUGACGCUGAGGCUCGAAAGUGUGGGUAUCAAACAGGAUUAGAUACCCGUGUAGUC
rnacentral:rRNA from 1 species